AGUGUCACCCGAUCUCUCCUCUGUGUGUGUGUGGGUAGACAAGUGUGUGUGGGUGUGUAUGUGUGUGUGUGGUGGGGGGCUUUUUUCUUUAGGGGGUGAGGGCGCCUCAUUGGCUGCCAUGCUAGGGUCAAGCUGAGGUCAGGACAUGUGUGAUGGAUGGAUCUCUGUCUCUAGACCACGGCCCUUCUCCCAUGCAGUCGUCUCUCCUCCUCUGGGCCUCAGAGCUGCUAAAGAGUCCCGGCUGUGCUCUCCCCUCCUCUCCUCACAUCUCUUUGUGUUUGCUCCACGCUGCCGAGCACAGGACUGCUUCAGCUGACAAACAUGGAGCUCAAAGAAAACUGCAGACAACUCUCUGAGAAUCUCCAGAAGGUCCCGGCUGACAUUUUUCUUUUAUUAUUAUGGAUGUGCCCACGCAGAUGAGAGGAGGGGAGAGGGCCACCCGAGUUUUCUCCACGUCGAAUCAAGAGGAGAGAAAAAACAUUUGAGGAGCUUUUAUCUGCAGCCAUUUCUUUUCGAAUGUAGAAUACUGAAUGUUGAUUAUGGCAAAUAAUUCUACUUUUUUGUGUGCGUAAAUAACAAACAUAUAGAUUGUCCUAUUCAUUUUUUUAUUAUUAUAAUAAUCAUUGUUAUUAUCCUAAAUGUAUUUUUGCUUUUCUGUUAUCAUCUUUAAUACCAGGAUGACAUUUUUAACAAUAAUAAAACUGAAUGAUUAAAUAUUAGAAUUUUAUUUCUAAGCUGCUUUGUAUUUGAUUUUGUGAUGGGAUGCGUUUGGACUUAAAACUGAAGAAUAUGCUACAAUUAUAUUUCAAUUAUUUUUAUUCAUUUCUUCGAACUGGAGCAGCAUGGAAUGUAUGACAUCGAAAAGAAAAUUGAUGAUGGUCUGUUCCUUUUUUUUCUUCAAUAAAGAAACUGCUAACGUGUGUCCCUUGUCCUUCCACACUUAUUGCAUGACUGAUUGAUUUUACAUUGGUGGAGAAAAACAAAAUACCUCCUCGAA